GUGGAUUAGAUACCCUGGUAGUCCACGCCGUAAACUAUGGAUGCUAGCCGUCGGCAAGCUUGCUUGUCGGUGGCGCAGCUAACGCAUUAAGCAUCCCGCCUGGGGAGUACGGCCGCAAGGUUAAAACUCAAAGGAAUUGACGGGGGCCCGCACAAGCGGUGGAGCAUGUGGUUUAAUUCGACGCAACGCGAAGAACCUUACCAGCUCUUGACAUUCACUGAUCGCCUUCAGAGAUGAGGGAAUUCCAGCAAUGGACAGUGGGACAGGUGCUGCAUGGUUGUCGACAACU
rnacentral:rRNA from 1 species